rnacentral:lncRNA from 10 species
CCAAGGAAACAGCUGAGCCCCCACCUCAAAGAGGAAACGCAACCGCCACAGCCCCCGCCGCCACCUGCUCCGGAGCCAAACAACCAACAAAUUCCUGCUCAAUUCGAAGGGAUAAAGCGGACUGCUGAUUCACUCCUAGGAACGCCCGGGCUGUUUCCACUGAGGAUAGAGGCAUAGCUUAACAGGAAUGGGACGUCAUCGUGAACGCUCUGGCAGAGCCACCUGGGGACUUGAAGUUGCAGGGUAUCAGAAAUGAUAGAAUAGCAGUUACCAGAGUCUAGGGAUCGUGGGAGGGAUGAUGGAGAGAGUCUGGUCAACAGUGGGCUGAAAAUUUGCCAAGAACACGGACGACUGGACAGUUCACUUUCAUUUGCAACAAUUUCCAAGAGGACCCUCGGUUACACAGCAUAAUUACAAAACUAAAGCAAACAUGUUAAAUGCCCUGCACCUUUUUUGAGAUGCCAAGUAUGGCCUUCUUGGGUGCCAUGAAGCAUUAAGAUAGCCUCAGGCAUCAGCACACAUUCCAGGUCCAAAUCCAAUUCCCACGGCCCAGCAGGCAAGCUGGGACAGUGGAAAUGCGAGUAUAUGGCCCAGCAUUACUCCGGAGGACUGUGGGGGUGAGCGUGCCACUUCCCAGAACCGUGGCUCUGACAGCUUCAACUGCACUCACGUCAGUGCUAUUAAGAGAUGUUCCUACCUUCAAACAUUGUGAAAUCUCACCCCGCUCCGAGGACACAUCCCUCCAGAUCUGUCUCCGAUCAACACGGGAGGCUGUGCUUUGUGCUAUUAAAAAUUUCUCUGGAACAAGAAGGGCAAAAUGCUGAUGCUUCAUGAUGCAUACAUGGGGGUUUGUUACACAAUUAUCUCCAUUUUGUGCACAUUUAAAAAAUUUCCAUAAUAAAAAGUUCAAAGUAUAAAAAUUUGUCUGGGGAUUAAAUCAUUGUCAGAUGCAAGAACUAUGCGCCCAGACUGGGCUUCAGUCCAGGUGGGAGAGACUCUGAUUUGUAGGUGAUUGAUUGUUAUUUCCAAGGAGAAUGUUAGGGGUUUAAAAAC